GACAUGCAGAGACUUUCCAGAGAUGGAUUGGUGCCUUCGGGAACUCUGACACAGGUGCUGCAUGGCUGUCGUCAGCUCGUGUCGUGAGAUGUUGGGUUAAGUCCCGUAACGAGCGCAACCCUUGUCCUUAGUUACCAGCACGUUAUGGUGGGCACUCUAAGGAGACUGCCGGUGACAAGCCGGAGGAAGGUGGGAUGACGUCAAGUCAUCAUGGCCCUUACGGCCUGGGCUACACACGUGCUACAAUGGUCGGUACAAAGGGUUGCCAAGCCGCGAGGUGGAGCUAAUCCCAUAAAACCGAUCGUAGUCCGGAUCGCAGUCUGCAACUCGACUGCGUGAAGUCGGAAUCGCUAGUAAUCGUGAAUCAGAAUGUCACGGUGAAUACGUUCCCGGGCCUU
rnacentral:rRNA from 1 species